rnacentral:rRNA from 1 species
AGUGAACGCUGGCGGUAGGCCUAACACAUGCAAGUCGAACGGCAGCACAGUAAGAGCUUGCUCUUACGGGUGGCGAGUGGCGGACGGGUGAGGAAUACAUCGGAAUCUACUUUUUCGUGGGGGAUCACGUAGGGAAACUUACGCUAAUACCGCAUACGACCUACGGGUGAAAGCAGGGGAUUUUCGGACCUUGCGCGAUUGUAUGAGCCUGUGUCGGAUUAGCUAGUUGGCGGGGUAAAGGCCCACCAAGGCGACGAUCCGUAGCUGGUCUGAGAGGAUGAUCAGCCACACUGGAACUGAGACACGGUCCAGACUCCUACGGGAGGCAGCAGUGGGGAAUAUUGGACAAUGGGCGCAAGCCUGAUCCAGCCAUACCGCGUGGGUGAAGAAGGCCUUCGGGUUGUAAAGCCCUUUUGUUGGGAAAGAAAAGCAGCAGGUUAAUACCCCGCUGUUCUGACGGUACCCAAAGAAUAAGCACCGGCUAACUUCGUG